UACGUAGGGUGCAAGCGUUGUCCGGAAUUAUUGGGCGUAAAGAGCUCGUAGGCGGUUUGUCGCGUCUGCUGUGAAACCCGAGGCUCAACCUCGGGCCUGCAGUGGGUACGGGCAGACUAGAGUGCGGUAGGGGAGAUUGGAAUUCCUGGUGUAGCGGUGGAAUGCGCAGAUAUCAGGAGGAACACCAAUGGCGAAGGCAGAUCUCUGGGCCGUAACUGACGCUGAGGAGCGAAAGCAUGGGGAGCGAACAGG
rnacentral:rRNA from 1 species